CGAGAACGCUUCAGCUUGCUGAAGCUAGUAAAGUGGCGCACGGGUGAGUAACGCGUGGGUAAUCUACCUCCAAAUUGGGGAUAACAUUGCGAAAGCGAUGCUAAUACCGAAUAAUAUCUCAAAUACUUCGGUUUUUGAGAUCAAAGGUGGCCUCUCCAUGGAAGCUACUGUUAGGAGAUGAGCCCGCGUACCAUUAGCUUGUUGGUAGGGUAAUGGCCUACCAAGGCAACGAUGGUUAGCUGGUCUGAGAGGAUGAUCAGCCACACUGGAACUGACACACGGUCCAGACUCCUACGGGAGGCAGCAGUGAGGAAUUUUGCGCAAUGGGGGAAACCCUGACGCAGCAACGCCGCGUGAGUGAUGAAGGCCUUCGGGUCGUAAAGCUCUGUCAAGUGAGAAGAAAUUGCCCAGUGCUAAUAUCACCGGGCACUGACGGUACCACUGAAGGAAGCACCGGCUAACUCCGUGCCAGCAGCCGCGGUAACACGGGGGGUGCAAGCGUUAUUCGGAAUCACUGGGCGUAAAGAGCGCGUAGGCGGUCUCUUAAGUCAGAUGUGAAAGCCCGGGGCUCAACCCCGGAAGUGCAUUUGAAACGAAGGGACUUGAGUAUGGGAGAGGGAAGUGGAAUUCCUGGUGUAGCGGUGAAAUGCGUAGAUAUCAGGAGGAACACCGGUGGCGAUGGCGACUUCCUGGACCAAUACUGACGCUGAGGCGCGAAGGCGUGGGGAGCAAACAGGAUUAGAUACCCUGGUAGUCCACGCAGUAAACGUUGAACACUAGUGUAGCGGGUAUUGACCCCUGCUGUGCCGCAGCUAACGCAUUAAGUGUUCCGCCUGGGGA
rnacentral:rRNA from 1 species